GCAUCGGUGGUUCAGUGAUUGAAUGGUGGCCUGCCAAGCGGUCGGCUCGGAGCUUCGAUUCCCUGCCGAUGCA
rnacentral:tRNA from 1 species